GGGCUGUGAUGACUGAAAACAUUUCUCGAUACUGAAUAUAUAAUUUUGCUUUUGUAUAAGGACCUUUCGAAAAGCAAUUUGCUCUGUUUGAAGACUGUAUUUGUGCGUGUCUGAGCCUU